UACGUAGGGGGCAAGCGUUGUCCGGAUUUACUGGGCGUAAAGCGCGCGUAGGCGGAAGGGUAAGUCUGGCCUGAAAGCCCCCGGCUCAACCGGGGAGGGUGGCUGGAAACUGCUGUUCUUGAGGACGAUAGAGGAGUGUGGAAUUCCUGGUGUAGCGGUGAAAUGCGUAGAGAUCGGGAGGAACACCAGAGGCGAAGGCGGCGACCUGGACAGGCACUGACACUCAACUACGAAAGCGUGGGGAGCAAACAGG
rnacentral:rRNA from 1 species